rnacentral:piRNA from 1 species
UAACUGUAUAUGGGAUGAAUCCCCAGAUG